UACGUAGGGGGCAAGCGUUGUCCGGAAUCAUUGGGCGUAAAGCGCGUGUAGGCGGCCCGAUAAGUCCGCUGUGAAAGUCCAGGGCUCAACCCUGGAAUGCCGGUGGAUACUGUCGGGCUAGAGUCCGGAAGAGGCGAGUGGAAUUCCUGGUGUAGCGGUGAAAUGCGCAGAUAUCAGGAGGAACACCAAUGGCGAAGGCAGCUCGCUGGAACGGUACUGACGCUGAGGCGCGAAAGCGUGGGGAGCGAACAGG
rnacentral:rRNA from 1 species